rnacentral:rRNA from 1 species
UACAGAGGGUGCGAGUGUUAAUCGGAAUUACUGGGCGUAAAGCGUGCGUAGACGGUUAUUUAAGUCGGGUGUGAAAGCCCCGGGCUCAGCCUGGGAAUUGCAUUCGAGACUGAAUAGCUAGGGUACGGUAGAGGGAAGCGGAAUUUCCGGUGUAGUGGUGGAAUGCGUAGAGAUCCGGAGGAACACCAGCGGCGAAGGCGGCAUCCUGGACUGGUCCUGACACUCAUGAGCGAAAGCGUGGGGAGCGAUCCGG